GAUGAAGAACGUAGCGAAAUGCGAUAAGUAAUGUGAAUUGCAGAAUUCAGUGAAUCAUCGAAUCUUUGAACGCACCUUGCGCCCUUUGGCCAUUCCGAAGGGCAUGCCUGUUUGAGUAUCAUGAACACCUCAACUCUUCAUGGUUUUCCAUGAUGAGCUUGGACUCUGGGGGUUUUGCUGGCUCACAGUCGGCUCCUCUAAAAUGAAUCAGCUUACCAGUGUUUGGUGGGUAUCAUGGGUGUGAUAACUAUCUACGCUUGUGGUUUUUCCACCAGGUAACCUUCAGCAGUGGAGGUUCGCUGGAGCUCAUAGAUGUCUCUCCUCAGUGAGGACAGCCCUUUGAAUGUUUGAUCUCAAAUCAGGUGGGACUACCCGCUGAACUUAAGCAUAUCAAUAAGCGGAGGA
rnacentral:misc_RNA from 1 species